UGAGUCUCGGAUAUUCAGCAUCUCGGUAGUAUCGUGGAAGAGAUACCUCCGACAACUAUCUCAGUUCCUUCGCUCGUCGUCGAAGAUUAUCCAUGGCCGGCUCUUCCACUAGGCGGUCGAUGCGGCAGAGGGGUACUUCUUCGGGUGCGGCUGAAGGAUGACUCAAUUGAAGCAUAAAUGUUUGAGGUUUGUUGCUAUUUUAUGACAAACUUGCAUGUAAUCUAGUGAUUAAAUUAAGGGAAUCAUUUUUGUUCUGGGUUCCCUUUGAUAAAAGGGGAAAGGUUAAAAAUGACUAAUUUUCUUAUCAUAGCAGAAAAGCACUAGUCGUACAUGUAAAUAUAUUUUACACGUUUGUACUGAAUUAAUAAUAUUGUGUGCCCAUAUCUUCAGAUUU